rnacentral:rRNA from 1 species
GACAGAGGAGCCAAGCGUUGUCCGGAUUGACUGGGCGUAAAGCGCACGCAGACGGAUGCGCGCGUGGGGUGUGAAAUCUGGCCGCUUAACGGCCAGGCGCCAUCCCAUACGGCGCGUCUGGAGUGAUGCAGAGGUCGAUGGAAUUGCCGGUGUAGUGGUGAAAUGCGUAGAGAUCGGCAGGAACACCCAGGGGGAAACCAGUCGACUGGGCAUCUACUGACGCUGAGGUGCGAGAGCGUGGGGAGCGAACCGG